CUUCAUUAGUAAAUCGUCAAAGAUGCUUCCUUUUGCUCGGUUUAUGAGUUUGGACGGUUGAAAGGGUCGGAAUCGAGGUUCACACCGGAAAAAGGUAACUGUUUACAUGGUUUUCACCACUUUUUCAGUCUGUGUCGCGAUGGUAGACUGCUUUAUAUGUCUACACCAAUGUGUAGACGUACGAUUCCGUCUAUUUGUCAACGAACAAGUCAGUUUCGCAAUUGACUUUUUUAACUUUUUUUUGGAACGCAGACUUCCCCAGCAGUCUACAUCCUUACCUUUGACUACAAAAACAAAAAUCUACGUAGACCUACCAAGACGGCUACGAAAAAGAGGAAAUGACUCAAUUACCGGCCGUAUACGGAGAAUGGGUGGAGAAAGGCUCAUUGUGGGAGUUUGUGGUCAAUAAAAAAAAGAGAGGGAGAAUGUUCCCUUUGAAAGAUGGUUGUACACAUGUUGAACUUCUUCAAAUGGUACAAGAAGAUUAUGAUCUAGACUAAAAACAUAUUGGUUAAGUGUGUUGAGUGAUUUGUAACACACACUUUCAACGAUUAUUGGGUAACAAUGUUUUUUUUCUUUCAAACAUAUGCAGCGUGGGUUUGAAGUUUUCUUUAAUAAUCGUUGAAAGUGUGUGUUACAAUAUGUUACAAACUAAGACAUUUGUUUGAAAGUGUGUGUUAGUUAACCCUAAUGGGUUUGAGUGAUUUUAAAAAGAAAAACAGUUGUAAUUAUGAAAUUAUAGUACUUUUGAUUUUACUA